AACGAACGCUGGCGGCAUGCCUAACACAUGCAAGUCGAACGAGACCUUCGGGUCUAGUUGCGCACGGGUGCGUAACGCGUUGGAACCUGCCUUUAGGUUCGGAAUAACUCAGAGAAAUGAGCUAAUACCGGAUUAUGUCUUCGGACCAAAGAUUUAUCGCCUUUAGAUGGGCCCGCGUUUGAUUAGCUAGUUGGUUGGGUAAAGGCCUACCAAGGCGACGAUCCAUAGAUGGUCUGAGAGGAUGAUCAGCCACAAUGGGACUGAGACACGGCCCAGACUCCUACGGGAGGGAGCAGUGGGGAAUAUUGGACAAUGGGCGAAAGCCAGAUAAAGCAAUGCCGCGUGAGUGAUGAAGGCCUUAGGGUUGUAAAGCACUAUUACAAGAGAUGAUAAUGACAGUAUCGGGAGAAUAAGCACCGGCUAACUACGUG
rnacentral:rRNA from 1 species